CCUGCCCAGUGAACUAAUUUAACGGCCGCGGUAUCUUGACCGUGCAAAGGUAGCAUAAUCAAUUGUUCUUUAAAUAAGGACUAGUAUGAACGGCACCACGAGGGUUUAACUGUCUCCCUAUUUUAAUCAAUGAAAUUGAUCUCCCCGUGAAGAAGCGGGGAUACAACUAUAAGACGAAAAGACCCCAUGGAGCUUUAAACUUAUUUUCAAUUACCAAAGCCCAAAACAUAUACCCGGUAAAAAUGAUAAUCGUUUUCGGUUGGGGCGACCCUGGAGAAAAAUAAAUCCUCCAAGCUGAAUAGACUAAAAAAUCUAAUAUUAGAGCAACAACUCAAAUAAUCAAAACCUUGACAAAAUGACCCAGAAUUCAUCUGAUCAACGAACCAAGUUACCCUGGGGAUAACAGCGCAAUCCAUUUCAAGAGCCCUUAUCGACAAAUGGGUUUACGACCUCGAUGUUGGAUCGGGAUAUCCUAGCAG
rnacentral:rRNA from 1 species